rnacentral:rRNA from 1 species
AGAGUGAAACUCAAAGGAAUUGACGGGGACCCGCACAAGUAGCGGAGCAUGUGGUUUAAUUCGAAGCAACGCGAAGAACCUUACCUAAGCUUGACAUCCUUUUGACCGAUGCCUAAUCGCAUCUUUCCCUUCGGGGACAGAAGUGACAGGUGGUGCAUGGUUGUCGUCAGCUCGUGUCGUGAGAUGUUGGGUUAAGUCCCGCAACGAGCGCAACCCUUGCCUUUAGUUGCCAUCAUUAAGUUGGGCACUCUAGAGGGACUGCCAGGGAUAACCUGGAGGAAGGUGGGGAUGACGUCAAAUCAUCAUGCCCCUUAUGCUUAGGGCUACACACGUGCUACAAUGGGUGGUACAGAGGGCAGCGAAGUCGUGAGGCCAAGCUAAUCCCUUAAAGCCAUUCUCAGUUCGGAUUGUAGGCUGAAACUCGCCUACAUGAAGCUGGAGUUACUAGUAAUCGCAGAUCAGAAUGCUGCGGUGAAUGCGUUCCCGGGUCUAACUGGGGUGAAGUCGUAACAAGGUAGCCGUAUCGGAAGGUGCGGCUGGAUCACCUCCUUU